rnacentral:rRNA from 1 species
CGACCGGGUAACUCCGCAUGGACGAAGUCUGACGGAGCAACGCCGCGUGAGUGACGAAGGCCUUCGGGUCGUAAAGCUCUGUUGUUAGGGAAGAACAAGUACCGUUCGAAUAGGGCGGUACCUUGACGGUACCUAACCAGAAAGCCACGGCUAACUACGUGCCAGCAGCCGCGGUAAUACGUAGGUGGCAAGCGUUGUCCGGAAUUAUUGGGCGUAAAGCGCGCGCAGGCGGUCUUUUAAGUCUGAUGUGAAAGCCCACGGCUCAACCGUGGAGGGUCAUUGGAAACUGGAGGACUUGAGUGCAGAAGAGGAGAGUGGAAUUCCACGUGUAGCGGUGAAAUGCGUAGAUAUGUGGAGGAACACCAGUGGCGAAGGCGGCUCUCUGGUCUGUAACUGACGCUGAGGCGCGAAAGCGUGGGGAGCAAACAGGAUUAGAUACCCUGGUAGUCCACGCCGUAAACGAUGAGUGCUAGGUGUUGGGGGGUUCCACCCUCAGUGCUGAAGUUAACACAUUAAGCACUCCGCCUGGGGAGUACGACCGCAAGGUUGAAACUCAAAGGAAUUGACGGGGGCCCGCACAAGCAGUGGAGCAUGUGGUUUAAUUCGAAGCAACGCGAAGAACCUUACCAGGUCUUGACAUCCUCUGACAAUCCUGGAGACAGGACGUUCCCCUUCGGGGGACAGAGUGACAGGUGGUGCAUGGUUGUCGUCAGCUCGUGUCGUGAGAUGUUGGGUUAAGUCCCGCAACGAGCGCAACCCUUGAUCUUAGUUGCCAGCAUUUAGUUGGGCACUCUAAGGUGACUGCCGGUGACAAACCGGAGGAAGGUGGGGAUGACGUCAAAUCAUCAUGCCCCUUAUGACCUGGGCUACACACGUGCUACAAUGGACGGUACAAAGGGCAGCAACACCGCGAGGUGAAGCA